rnacentral:rRNA from 1 species
AUGAGAACGAGGGCACUGACGAUCAUGGCCAGUCCCAUGACACCAUGCCUCACCCACCACUUUCGGUGGCUUUCUGCUGCCCCUGCGUGGGGAGCUCAACAUGGAGGGACUCGCCAUGGAUCGAGCAUCGCUCUGGAGUCUAGACGCGGCUGCCCACUGCCCUGCAAGUUGACUGUUCCAACGCCCACCAAGUGUUUGACGGUGCUCCAUGGAAUCUUCGAACAGAUCAAUGGAUAA